GAUGAACGCUAGCGGCAGGCUUAAUACAUGCAAGUCGAGGGGCAGCAGGACUGUAGCACUACAGUUGCUGGCGACCGGCAAACGGGUGCGGAACACGUACGCAACCUACCCAAAACUGGGGGAUAGCCCGGGGAAACCCGGAUUAAUACCUCGUAACCUUUUUAAGUGGCAUCACUUGAUAAGUAUAGCUCCGGCGGUUUUGGAUGGGCGUGCGCCUGAUUAGGUAGUUGGUGCGGGUAACGGCCCACCAAGCCUGCGAUCAGGAACUGGUGUGAGAGCACGACCAGUCACACGGGCACUGAGACACGGGCCCGACUACUACGGGAGGCAGCAGUAAGGAAUAUUGGGCAAGGGACGCAAGUCUGAACCAGCCAUGCCGCGUGAAGGAGGAAGGUCCUCUGGAUUGUAAACUUCUUUUAUGGGGGACGAAACCCGGAUAUUCUUAUCCGAUUGACGGUACCUCAGGAAUAAGCACCGGCUAACUCCGUG
rnacentral:rRNA from 1 species